rnacentral:rRNA from 1 species
CUGAAUGAAAAUUCACCCUGAACGUACCAGGCCUCGUCGGAUCUCGGAAGCUAAGCAGGCCUGAGCCUGGAUAGCACUGGGAUUGGAGACUGCCUGGGAACACCACGUGUUCUACACU